UGAAUACGAGAUGCUACGGCAUCGAAGCAGUCUAUGUCAUACUUCCAAGAAAAGCUUGCACUGUCAUAAACAAAUAAUGCCUGUACCAUAACCGACACAGGUGGGUAGGUAGAGUAUACUAAGGGGCGCGAGAUAACUCUCUCUAAGGAACUCGGCAAAACGACUCCGUAACUUCGGGAGAAGGAGUGCCUUAUUUUAUAAGGUUGCAAUAACAAGAUCCAAGCAACUGUUUACCAAAAACACAGGUCUCCGCUAAGUCGUAAGACGAUGUAUGGGGGCUGACGCCUGCCCAGUGCCAGAAGGUUAAAGAAGUUGGUUAGCAUUAGCGAAGCUGAUAACUGAAGCCCUGGUGAACGGCGGCCGUAACGAUAACGGUCCUAAGGUAGCGAAAUUCCUUGUCGGGUAAGUUCCGACCCGCACGAAAGGCGUAAUGAUUUGGAUACUGUCUCGGAGAGGGGCUCGGUGAAAUAGACUUGUCUGUGAAGAUGCGGACUACCUGCACCAGGACAGAAAGACCCUAUGAAGCUUUACUGUAACUUGAGAUUGAAAUUGGACUUUAUUUGCGCAGUAUAGGUGGGAGACGUUGAAAAUAUUCUUGCGGGAAUAUUGGAGUCAUCAGUGAGAUACCACUCUUAUAAUGUUAGAUUUCUAACUUUGUAUCAUUAUCUGGUCAAAGAACAGUCUCAGGCGGGCAGUUUGACUGGGGCGGUCGCCUCCCAAACGGUAACGGAGGCGCACAAAGGUUUCCUCUGAACGUGUAGAAAUCGUAUCUAGAGUGUAAAGGCAUAAGGAAGCUUGACUGUGAGACCUACAAGUCGAGCAGGGACGAAAGUCGGUCUUAGUGAUCUGACGGUGCUGAGUGGAAAGGCCGUCACUCAACGGAUAAAAGUUACUCUAAGGAUAACAGGCUGAUCUCCCCCAAGAGUUCACAUCGACGGGGAGGUUUGGCACCUCGAUGUCGGCUCAUCGCAUCCUGGGGCGGUAGUACGUCCCAAGGGUUGGGCUGUUCGCCCAUGAAAGCGGUACGCGAGCUGGGUUCAGAACGUCGUGAGACAGUUCGGUCCAUAUCCGGUGUAGGCGUUAGAAUAUUGAGAGGAGCCUUCUUUAGUACAAGAGGACCGAGAAGGACAUACCUCUGGUGUACCAGUUAUCGUGCCAACGGUAAACGCUGGGUAGCUAUGUAUGGAGAGGAUAGCCGCUGAAAGCAUCUAAGUGGGAAGCCCACCUCAAGAUAAG
rnacentral:rRNA from 1 species